CCCUGAUCCUUGGCCCACUUCUGGGUGAUGGGUGGAUUAGAGGUGGGGAGACAGGAGGCAGAAGUAACCUGGAGCCUCCGCCAGGCUUCCAUAAGCCAGGUCUUGUGCCUGUCUCCAGGGAGCCCCCCAGAGCACUCCAGACCUCAGCUGCAGGCAGUGAAUUCCCCUGCCUAAUCAACCUUCCAGGCAGAUUUGCCUCAGUGCAUACAGCAGAGACCAUAAAGGUGGAAACGUGGGCAGGACGUUCCUGAAUGUUGCAUUAAGAGACCUGAAGUACAGCGUUGCAGAUCAGAACUCCAUCAGGCAUCUUGAGAUCACCAACUGUUUCUCAGGAAAUAAGCACUAAUAAUGAAAUGACAAGACAGAGGGGUAUCCAUCUCUGAAUACUCCAGGGAACCACCAUACCAGCCAUGGACUACUGACCUCUGACUUAAUCACAUCACGUGAGCCAAGUGGCAGGACAGCAUCCUGGGACUCAGAUCUAACACUGUGAGGAACUGAAGCCAGGUGUCCAAGGCAGCAAGUCAAAAGGCUGAUCUUAACCAGACUCAUGAAAAGAAGCUGAGUGACCAUGGGCUGUACUUUACAGGAGGAAGGGUCUCAACAUCUGUUUCAAGCAUUUUAUCCAACUAUUGAUUCUAAG
rnacentral:lncRNA from 10 species